GCGCCAUGGAGACGUUCCCGUCCCGCUACUUCACCCCGCGGGAGGUGGCGGCGCACGCGCGGCCCGGGGACCUCUGGGUCUCCUACCUGGGCCGCGUCUGCGACCUGAGCCCGCUGGGCCGGCGCCACAAGGGGGAUGUCUUGCUGAGGCCCAUCUUGGAAGCGGCGGGAAAGGACAUUAGCCACUGGUUCAACCCCAAGACCAGAGACAUCCAGACCCACGUGGACCCGUUAACGGGCUGCAUCAAGUACUACACCCCCCAGGGCCGCUUCAUCCACAUCCCGCCCCAGAUGCCCCGCUCCGACUGGGCAAACGACUUUGGGUUGCCCUGGUGGAAGGACAGCAAGUAUGAAGUGGGGAUCCUGACGUCCAAGACCCGGCACAUCCGCAUCAUCAACACCCUGACUUCGCAGGAGCACAUGCUGGAGGUGUGCGCGGAGGAGUCCAUGUGGGAGAUCCUGCGGCGCUACCUGCCCCACAAUGCCCACGCCGCCAGCUACACCUGGAAGUACGAGGGCGUCAGCCUGGACAUGGACAAGACGCUGGAGCAGAACAAGAUCCCGGACCAGGACAUGGAGUUCUACCAGCUUAACCUGGACUCCGACCUUUACAUGCCGGGCAUCUUGCUGUACUUCAACGACGACCUCACCGAGUUCUAGGUAGUGGGGGUGGGGCACGCGUUGGCCCCUUUCCUUGGGGAGAUUUCUGCCUCAGGCAGGAAACGGUUCUCAGUUCUCCUCCUGAAUUCUCCACCUGCAGCACCGCUGGGUGAGUCGCUCUGUUUGCAGGACUCGAACCCGGGACCUUGCAACUCUCGAAGCUGAGCUAAAGAAAACCCGGUUCCCGGAGCUCAAAGCGCCGCGGAGUGUUAGUGUUCCCUGCUUCAUCCCGUCCUGCCCCCUUCGUCCCACCCUCAGCAUUGCCAACUCUCACGCAAAUCACAAGCCAAACCGGAUUGGACCAUAGGCCCAUCAAGCCUGGUAUCCCGUCUGUGGCAGGGGCCAAUUGCUUCAGAAUAAGGUGUGAGACACCCCCAGCGGACUUUUGUGGCACAGCCUGCCCAGGGGAGAUUUUCCCCUGAGUUUAAGGUUUACAAGUCCGUCCCGAGCUCCUUUGGUAAUUCAGGAUGUGCUCAUUUAUCCAUAUUGACCCUUUUGCUGAAUCUUCUCUAAGCUCGGUAUCUUGUGGCAGAGAGUCCCCCAGGACAGCUUCAUUCUCUACCCAGGCGCAGGGAAGGAUUGGCCCCGGUUCGGGAGCUGAAACGGUCGCUCCUGUUCCACGUCGGACGCAGGGUUUCCUGUUUCCAGCCUGUCUCUGCGGUGCUGGUUCCAUGGGGCUGUUUUGUACCAACUUGUCAUGUUCGUAAUGGAAAUAAAAUCUUUGUUACGAUA